rnacentral:rRNA from 1 species
AAGGAAUAUUGGUCAAUGGACGCAAGUCUGAACCAGCCAUGCCGCGUGGAGGAUUAAGGCCCUCUGGGUUGUAAACUCCUUUUAUCUGGGAAGAAAUGUACUUUUUCUUGAGUACUUGACGGUACCAGAGGAAUAAGCACCGGCUAACUCCGUGCCAGCAGCCGCGGUAAUACGGAGGGUGCAAGCGUUAUCCGGAUUCACUGGGUUUAAAGGGUGCGUAGGGGGGCAGGUAAGUCAGUGGUGAAAUCUCCGGGCUUAACCCGGAAACUGCCGUUGAUACUAUUUGUCUUGAAUAUUGUGGAGGUAAGCGGAAUAUGUCAUGUAGCGGUGAAAUGCUUGGAUAUGACAUAGAACACCAAUUGCGAAGGCAGCUUACUACGCAAUCAUUGACGCUGAGGCACGAAAGCGUGGGGAUCAAACA